GAUGAACGCUGGCGGCGUGCCUAAUACAUGCAAGUCGAGCGAACGGACGCGAAUCUUGCUUCUCUGAUGUUUGCGGCGGACGUGUGAGUAACACGUGGAUCACCUACCUAUAUUUCUGGGAUAACUUCGGGAAACCGGAGCUUAUACCGGAUAAUCUUUUGAACCGCAUUGUUCAAUAGUGAAAGUCGGUCUUGCUGUCUCUUCUAGAUGGAUCCGGGCUGCAUUAGCUCGUUGGUAAGGUAACGGCUUACCAAGGCAACGAUGCAUAGCCGACCUGAGAGGGGGAUCGGCCACACGGGAACGGAGACACGGACAAGAGGCCUACGGGAGGCAGCAGAAGGGAAUGGGAGGCAAUGGGGGAAAGCAUGACGGAGGAAGGCCGCGUGAGAGAUGAAGGUCUUCGGAUCGGAAAACUGGGUUAGGAGGGAAGAACAGAUGUGGAAGGAACUGAGGAGAGCGUGACGGUAACGAAUCAGAAAGCAACGGCUAACUACGUG
rnacentral:rRNA from 1 species